GCUGCCUGCUCUGAACCAGCCCUUCUCUCCUGGCUGCCUCGAAAAGUUUUUCAGCCCCAGGGUUUUCCUGGAAGCAGUGCUGGGGAUCACCAGAGCUCAAUGGUUCAAGUCUGUGUGGUGCUACGACUGGCAAGUCUCCUCACUCCCGGACCCUUCAGCCUGGGGCUUCAAAUACUCCCUAAUAGAUGGCAAGCAUCCUAUGUACAAGUCCCAAGACCCUGAGGUGCAGAUGACUCCUUGUCUCGCUCGCCACUAGCCAAAAGGACAUAGGAGCAAGCUAGAGGAAAAACCCGAGAGCAAUCCCCCAUCACCAUAAAUUGCGCAGCCAAGAUCCUCACAUCGGAGGCAUCUCCUGGGGGACUCAGCCUGCCCACAGUGCGAGGGACAGGCCUUCACCCUCUAACUACACUGAGUCACUCAAGGCCAAGAAUUGUUUCCUGAGACAAAAAUCCCUUGAAGGCUUGCUGGAGGACCAGGCACUGCGCUAGUGGAGUCUCCAUUUGAGGAUUUCCUUUGGGAUCUGAUCAUUCGGCUUCUUCAAGAAAUUGGGUCUUUUUGGGUGGAAAACACUGCCUUUCUCUGGAACGUGCUUGGGAUACCGUGCGGGGAGUUAGAGGAGGCUCCCGGUGCUCACGCAGCCCAGCUCGCAGGCUGCCUGGAUAAUUAUACCCUGCCGUUGUUACAGCUCUGCUAGUUAACCCUGCUCAGACUCACCACGGCGAGCUCCCCACCCACUCCUGCACUGCCAAAGGUGACACGGUGCACGGUGACAAGGAGAGUUUCCAGAAAUAUGGGAAAAUCUGGGGGCGAGUCUUCUCCUAUGGCAACGCAGCUCUCUCCAGGCCGGGACCUGUCUUACACAGGCCACUGCCGGGUCAAAUUCAAAAGUCCAAGUGGGAGACUAAGGUUAGAGGAAUUUCAAUGUCAUGGUUAUGAGAUCUGCUCCUCCUCUCCUGCCCUCCCCGACGCGUCCCCUAAGUCACCGUUCCUGUCAGUCCAUUAUCCCUGAAACCCCAAUUGUGUCCCCUCCGACCCACUCCUUAUCUCCCCUCCACCCCACAUCCCCUGGGCUCCCUGUCACCCCCUCCAGGCCUAAUGUCCACAGCUCCCUUUUCCUCCAGACUCCUUCCUCGCACAGCCCACUUUCCCCAUAGCCGUGGUGCCACAACCCACCCCCGGCCCCUCUCCAGCUGAUCUCCCUCAGCUCCUGUCCCCACGUUGCUGGAUCUCCAAACCACAUCAGCCUCGUUCCCUCCCCUGAAAUUUUCCCUAGGCCUUUUCACACACGGCCCGCUUCAGCCCAUCUGCUCCCAUAGCCCUCUGCAGCCCCUCAGAUUGGGCACCAAAAGAGGCAACUCAGAGUAGAGAAGAGGAGAAGGAGAGCCUGAGGUGCCAGCAGAGCUGCAGCAUGGCACGAGGGAAGGGGCCAGGGCCUGAGUAGUAUGCCACAUUUUCUGUUUGGGAGGAGAUUGCCGCAUUUCCAUAUGCCUGUACAAAUGCACAUUUCAAAUAAAAACAGCUUGACUCUAGAAUUA